rnacentral:rRNA from 1 species
GGUUGAUCCUGCCAGUAGUCAUAUGCUUGUUUCAAAGAUUAAGCCAUGCAAGUGUCAGUUCCAUUGGGAAUAUAGAAACUGCGAAUAGCUCAUUAAAAUCGUUGUAACCAAUUCGGUAGUAUCUUAAAUGGAUAUCCAUGGUAAUUCUGUGGCUAAUACAUGCUAAUUCCAAAGGAAGGCAUAUAUCAGCUUGUGAUCAUGGUGAUAUGUCGAUCGUCAUACGACAUGCCGAAUGGGCUUCGAACCUAUCAGCUUUGUCGGUAGAAUAAAGGUCUACCGAGGCUUUGACGGG